rnacentral:misc_RNA from 1 species
GGAAAUUUGAAGAUUUUGAAGGAGCUUCUUGGAGAUUGCUCUGGUGUCUUGGUUUAUAGAGAUGCUCAAGGGUCCACUGUCUUGCAUACUGCCUCAGGCAGAGGGCCAGGUUGAGGUAGUUAAGGAUAUAAUGGCAUCCUUUGGACUUAUCACCUCCAUUGAUUAUCAAGGAAACACGGCAUUACAUAUAGCUGCUUACAGGGGUUACUUAGCUGUUGCAGAGGUUCUGAUUCUU